rnacentral:rRNA from 1 species
GAAUAUUGGACAAUGGGGGCAACCCUGAUCCAUUAAUGCCGCGUGUGUGAAGAAGGCCUGCGGGUUGUAAAGCACUUUCAGUAGAGAAGAAAAGCCUGGCGUUAAUACCGCCGGGUCUUGACGUAACCUACAGAAGAAGCACCGGCUAACUCCGUGCCAGCAGCCGCGGUAAUACGGAGGGUGCGAGCGUUAAUCGGAAUUACUGGGCGUAAAGCGCGCGUAGGCGGUUUGGUAAGUCGGAUGUGAAAGCCCUGGGCUCAACCUGGGAAUUGCAUUCGAUACUGCCUGACUAGAGUACGGUAGAGGGAAGUGGAAUUUCCGGUGUAGCGGUGAAAUGCGUAGAUAUCUGAAGGAACACCAGU